CAUUUGUUUGUAGCUAGACUCCUCCAAAUCCAACAAUAUAAUUUAAGUUACAUCAACAGUUGAGAACUAUAAGAUGAGAGUCUUAAGGGAUUAAACUCAAUAUAAUCUUAUUACUUAGGAUUACAAAUAUUAACUGAGAUAACUCAAAUUUUACCGGAGUGUUUGAGAUGUACCUCACUCAUAGUGUUUACUUGAUGUGACUGCCUAAUUUGCAUCACA
rnacentral:lncRNA from 1 species